GUGCUAAGCAAUUCAGUGAGACCCUGUCUUUAAAUAAAAUACAAAAUAGGGGGCUGGGAUGUGGCUCAGUGGUCGAAUGCCCCUGAUUUCAAUCCCCAGAACCAAUAAUAAUAAAAAAUACAAUACAACUUUACAUUAGUAACCCCCACCAGUAAAUACUUGAGUAUAACUCUAACAAAAUAUAUGUUAAGAUCUACAUGAGGAAAAGUACCAAACUCAGAUUAAAGAAAUCAAAGUACAUAUUCUACGUUAAUGGAUAGGAAGACUGAUCACAGUUAAAGAUGUCAGUUCUUCCCAACUUGAUGUACUGAUUCAGUGCAAUCUCAAUAAAAAUCCCAGCAAGUUAUUUUGUGAAUGACGUACUAAUUCUAUACGGAAAAUCAAAGACCCAGAAUAGCCAACACAAUAUUGAAGGAAAACUAAAAGAACUGACACUACCUAGUGUCAGGAUUUAUUAUAAAGCUACAGUAAUCAAGACAGUGUGGUAUUGGAGAAAAAAUGGACAAAUACAUUAAUAGAAAAAAAAACUUAGAGAAUUAUACCCAUAAAAUUUAGGCAACUGAUUUUUGACCAAGGAGUAAAGGCGCUUCAAGGGAGGAAGGAUAGUCUUUUCUACAAAAUGGUGCUAGAAUUGGACAAACACAUGCAAAAAAAGAAAAGAAAAAACAAACAAAAAAGAAUCUAGACACAGUCUGUAGAGAGAAGCAUUAAACUUAUGCUGAAAUUGAGCAAGAAAGUAGAAUUCCCAUAUCUUCCUGCUUAGAUACAUGCAUAGGUUCCCUCACUAUCAUAGUUUUCCCCCAGCUAUCUCACACCAGAAUGGUAUAUUUGUUAAAACAUCAAUUAAUAAUUGCCACCCAUAGUCUAUAGUUUACAUUAGGAUUCACACUUGACACUGUAUACACUAUGGGUUUUGACAACACAUGUGACCAUUACUGUAUUAUACUGAAUAGUGUCACUUUCUUUAAAAUCUUUUGUAUGAUAUCUAUUCAAACCUCCUUUCUGUUUAACCUCUGGUAACCCACAAUCUAUUUACUACACUAUAGUUUUGCCUUUCCCAGAAUGUCAUACAAUUGGAAUUGUGCAGUAUGUAGCCUUUUCAGAUUAGCUUCAUUCAUCUAAUAAUAGGUAUUUGCGAUUCUUCAUGACUUCUUGUGGCUUAGAGCUCAUUCUUUGUUAGUGCUAAAUAACAUUCCACUAUUUGGUUGUGCCACAGUUUAACCAUUCACCUCAAAGGAAAUAUCUGCUCCUUCUAAUUUGGGGCAAUUAUAAUUAAAGCUACUCUAAACGUUUGCAUGCAGGUUUUUGUGUAGAUAAAAAUCUUCAAUCCAUAUGGUAAAUACCAAGAAGCAGGAUUGCUAAAUAAUUUAGUAAGACUUUAGUAAGUUUUAUUAAAAACUAUCAAAUUGUCUUCCAAAGUGGAUACAGCAUUUUGUAUUCUCAUCAGCAAUGAAUAAGAGUUCCUGUUAUUCUAUAUUCUCCUCAGCAAUUGGUGUUUUGGUCAGAAUAUAUAUUUAGUCGCUUUUAAUAACAAUAUUUAUUUCUUCAGCAACUGCAGUUCUCACUGCCAAACAGAAACAUUUUUGAGGCCACAAACCUCCAAAAAGCUUGGAAGAAAGUAAUAAGGAAAAAUGUGGAACAGUGAGUCUUUCUGGAAAAUAUAGUGAAUUCAUUUUCUUCUUCAAUUUCAGAACUGAAGUUUUUACCCUCAUCCAUCAUCUCUUCUUCUUCAAGAGUUCUUUCAUCAUCAUAGUCAUGGACCAACAUCUCAGCAGUGGGGUCAAAAUCAUGAUCCUCAGAAGACAAAGACCCAACUGGAAUGAAACAAACUGAAUCAUUUAACAUAUUCACAAGGUUAUUUAAAAAAUAAAAAUGUGUUCCUAUAAAUUUACUAGAUAUUUUAUAGGUUAUAAAGUAAGACCAUGUGAUUCUGAAAAGAUACUAAAAUCAGGAAAAAAACAAGGAGGAAUAAUUUACAAACACUUUUACAAGGGGUCCAACUUACAAUACCAGUAAAGUGAUUUAAAUGGCGUGGUCUUAAAUAAAUAUUACAACAGAAAAGCAAUGAAACUUGCUUAUUACUUAAUUUAAGACAUUUGUUUAAAAACAAAGGCAAAUGUCAGAAGAAUUAAAUUUCCAGGAAUGGAAAACUUCAAGAAUCUACUAUCCAUGAAGUCUAACACUUCAGAAGAGAAUGUAAAUUUUACCAAAUUUUAACCCUCAAAUAAAGACACAAAACUCAACAGAAAUUUUGCUUACAGGACAAAAAUCAAAUUUCUGUGAAACAGCUAUUCAGAAAUUUAGUUUUUAAAAGCACUGUAUCAUUUACAUAUGUAUAACAGUAUUUCAAGCUCCCCAGCAUCAGUCAGUCAAGUAUUAAACUACAAAUCUAUGCUUUACUUUAGAUUACUAAUACAGUUGUUAGGAUUAUACAAAGAGACCACAGAAAAUCAUUAUCUGAAAGUUUUAGAAGAUAUAACCCAUUACGAGUUGUUUUGGCCAAUUCACACUUAUUUAUAAAAUUAUAAUAAUUUUUAAUAGCAAAUAGGAAGUCAACUGAAUAUUCCAAAAACAAAAAGAAAUGAAUAAAAUCCAUAAUCCCAAGAGAAUAAAAUAUGAUUUAUAAAAAACAGCAUAACAUCUAAUUCAAUUAGACCAGCAACUUUCAAGAAUAUGGAAGGAAAGUAAGAUCAGAAUUUGGAGAAGAAAAAGUUAAUCUACUUUGAGCCAAACUAAUAUUUUAAAAUUUCAAACAUUUAAACACAAUGUGAGAUCAUUACCAAAACAGUGAAAUAGGCUAAAAUUUUUUCACUACGGAAAAACUACAAAUAGAAUUCAAUAUUUCUGAUUCUGAGUUCAGAAAACUCUAUUAGUCCUAAGAAACAAUUUCUAUGGUACUUAAUUCUUUAGAAAGCUUACAUUAUGAUGCUAUUUCUUUGCAGUUGAAAAUAUUAUCUGCUCAUCUGAAAAACAUGAUGAAGUAGGUGUGGCUUAACUUAAUUUUAAAGACAAAGAUGAGCAUUUAUUAACUAGCUCAAUAACAGAACAUGCACCCAGUUACAGAUUUUCUUUUCUAAGGAAUUCCUACAAACUACUAUUGCUUUUCAAAGUGUCCUGCAUAAAACAGAAGGGCCUGAGGACCUAUUCCUGGCUUUGUCCUUGGCUUUCAGGGACCUAUUUAAAUUUACUGGGUGUAGCUCAAGCUUUUCAUUUGUAAAACACAUAAGGUUGGCUGAAUUAACUUAAGAAUUUCUUUUAGUUCCAAAUUUCUCUUUAAAAAUUGGCAAACUGAUUAAAAACAGGUUAUAAGUGUCUGUUUAGACAUCAACAGCACACUGUGUUUUGCCUUUUUAUUUAGAUCACAACUUCUAACAAACAGUGAUUCAAAAUGGAAAAUUUCCAUUAUCAUCCAGAUGUUUGGCAUCAUGUACAUAAAUAUUCUUCCCCUGAAAUCAGUCAUAACAAAGAAAUGUUUGUCUCAAAAUUAGCAAAACUUUUGAAAACAAUUUUUAAUGUAUAGAUAGCUAUUUUUAAAGUAAUCACAAAUUCCUUCAAUUUAGUGUUAAUUAUAAUACCCAAGUAAGACCUUUGACUUAAUACAAAAAGUAAUAUUGCAAAAACAAUGAAUUGUUCAUUCUAUGGCAAUAUGCAAUGAAAAACUUGGGGGCUCAUACACACUCCACUAAGUUAUGAUUCUUUAGCAGCAUGAUUUAAAAGUCUCUAGGUGAACUAAGGGAAGUGGACAGAUCCAGAGGUGCUUUCCCUGGACCCUAUGACAGGAGAAAGUGGCAGUUAAAGAGGGGAACUGGAAAGAGGAUGAGAAGUUGAAACCUUAUAUCUUAGCACAGGAGGAAAGUUCCCCGACAUGGAUCAGCUUCAGGGAUCCCACAAGCCCCCACUCUGUGUAUAACUAUGCCUAUCUAGAGCAUUCAGGGAGAGUCCCCUAUUUUUAUCAAAUCCCAACAAGAACUUCUAACCUCAAAAAGAUCAAGAAACACUUCCAGAAGCUCUAAUGUUGUCUCAGCUCAAAAAUCUUCUAUCACCCCCUCUUCUGUGGCAAAUUUGGAAUAUAUGUGUGUUUUAAAGAUAGCUUUAACUCUCAGUUUUCACACAAACUAUAGACAUUUCUCAAUUAUGAAAAGGAGACUUAGAGGAGAUGGGGAGUUCCAGUUACCAAUCAACCUAAGCAGCCACCAAAUUCAGAAAAAGUAGAGAUCAAUUUCUCGAACAAACAGAAACUAAAAUCCAAACUGCAAAAGUUGGUGAAAAGUUGAUUUGGUACUCACUGGUUUGGACUUGGAGGAAAACAUAUAUGUGAAAAUUAAAGACACUAUUUAAAAGCU